ACGCUGGCGGCGUGCUUAACACAUGCAAGUCGAACGGUAAGGCCCUUCGGGGUACACGAGUGGCGAACGGGUGAGUAACACGUGGGUGAUCUGCCCUGCACUUCGGGAUAAGCCUGGGAAACUGGGUCUAAUACCGGAUAGGACCAUGGACUUCACGGUUUGUGGUGGAAAGCUUUUGCGGUGUGGGAUGGGCCGCGGCCUAUCAGCUUGUUGGUGGGGUAAUGGCCUACCAAGGCGACGACGGGUAGCCGGCCUGAGAGGGUGUCCGGCCACACUGGGACUGAGAUACGGCCCAGACUCCUACGGGAGGCAGCAGUGGGGAAUAUUGCACAAUGGGCGCAAGCCUGAUGCAGCGACGCCGCGUGAGGGAUGACGGCCUUCGGGUUGUAAACCUCUUUCAAUAGGGACGAAGCGCAAGUGACGGUACCUAUAGAAGAAGCACCGGCCAACUACGUG
rnacentral:rRNA from 1 species